rnacentral:rRNA from 1 species
AUGCAAGUCGACGAGAAGCCCACUGACUCAAUUGAAAUUGGAGUGCUUGCACAAGAACGGAUUUGAGUGACGUGGAUUCUGCUUCUAGUGGCAAACGGGUGAGUAACACGUGGGUUACCUACCUUCUGUUGGGGAUACCAAUUGGAAACGAUUGCUAAUACCGAAUGUGAUCUACGGAUUAAAGGAGCCUUUAAAGCUCCGCGAGAAGAUGGGCCUGCGGUGCAUUAGAUAGUUGGUGGGGUAACGGCCUACCAAGUCGACGAUGCAUAGCUGAACUGAGAGGUUGAUCGGCCACACUGGGACUGAGACACGGCCCAGACUCCUACGGGAGACAGCAGUUAGGAAUAUUCGUCAAUGGGGGAAACCCUGAACGAGCAAUGCCGCGUGAACGAUGACGGUUCCCUCUGGAUUGUAAAGUUCUGUUGUUUGGAAAGAAUUGUACUGAUAGGAAAUGAUCAGUGCUUGACGGUACCAUUCAAGAAAGCCACGGCUAACUACGUGCCAGCAGCGGC